UACAGAGGGUGCGAGCGUUAAUCGGAAUUACUGGGCGUAAAGGGUGCGUAGGUGGUUUAGUAAGUUAGAUGUGAAAUUCCUGGGCUUAACCUGGGGACUGCGUCUGAUACUGCGAAGCUAGAGUACUGUAGAGGGAAGUGGAAUUUCCGGUGUAGCAGUGAAAUGCGUAGAUAUCGGAAGGAACAUCAGUGGCGAAGGUGACUUUCUGGACAGAUACUGACACUGAGGCACGAAAGCGUGGGGAG
rnacentral:rRNA from 1 species